GACGAACGCUGGCGGCGCGCCUAACACAUGCAAGUCGAACGAGCGAGAGAGAGCUUGCUUUCUCAAGCGAGUGGCGAACGGGUGAGUAACGCGUGAGGAACCUGCCUCAAAGAGGGGGACAACAGUUGGAAACGACUGCUAAUACCGCAUAAGCCCACGGCUCGGCAUCGAGCAGAGGGAAAAGGAGCAAUCCGCUUUGAGAUGGCCCCGCGUCCGAUUAGCUAGUUGGUGAGGUAACGGCCCACCAAGGCGACGAUCGGUAGCCGGACUGAGAGGUUGAACGGCCACAUUGGGACUGAGACACGGCCCAGACUCCUACGGGAGGCAGCAGUGGGGAAUAUUGCACAAUGGGGGAAACCCUGAUGCAGCGACGCCGCGUGGAGGAAGAAGGUCUUCGGAUUGUAAACUCCUGUUGUUGAGGAAGAUAAUGACGGUACUCAACAAGGAAGUGACGGCUAACUACGUGCCAGCAGCCGCGGUAAAACGUAGGUCACAAGCGUUGUCCGGAAUUACUGGGUGUAAAGGGAGCGCAGGCGGGAAGACAAGUUGGAAGUGAAAUCUAUGGGCUCAACCCAUAAACUGCUUUCAAAACUGUUUUUCUUGAGUAGUGCAGAGGUAGGCGGAAUUCCCGGUGUAGCGGUGGAAUGCGUAGAUAUCGGGAGGAACACCAGUGGCGAAGGCGGCCUACUGGGCACCAACUGACGCUGAGGCUCGAAAGUGUGGGUAGCAAACAGGAUUAGAUACCCUGGUAGUCCACACCCGUAAACGAAGAUUACUAGGUGUUGGAGGAUUGACCCCCUCAGUGCCGCAGUUAACACAAUAAGUAAUCCACCUGGGGAGUACGACCGCAAGGUUGAAACUCAAAGGAAUUGACGGGGGCCCGCACAAGCAGUGGAGUAUGUGGUUUAAUUCGACGCAACGCGAAGAACCUUACCAAGUCUUGACAUCCUGCGACGCACAUAGAAAUAUGUGUUUCCUUCGGGACGCAGAGACAGGUGGUGCAUGGUUGUCGUCAGCUCGUGUCGUGAGAUGUUGGGUUAAGUCCCGCAACGAGCGCAACCCUUACUGUCAGUUACUACGCAAGAGGACUCUGGCAGGACUGCCGUUGACAAAACGGAGGAAGGUGGGGAGGACGUCAAAUCAUCAUGCCCUUUAUGACUUGGGCUACACACGUACUACAAUGGCGUUAAACAAAGAGAAGCAAGACCGCGAGGUGGAGCAAAACUCAGAAACAACGUCCCAGUUCGGACUGCAGGCUGCAACUCGCCUGCACGAAGUCGGAAUUGCUAGUAAUCGUGGAUCAGCAUGCCACGGUGAAUAAAAGCCCGGGCCUUGUAC
rnacentral:rRNA from 1 species